rnacentral:rRNA from 1 species
GAUGAACGCUGGCGGCGUGGAUAAGGCAUGCAAGUCAAGGGGCCCGCAAGGGAACCGGCAGACGAGGUAGUAAUAAAUAGGUAACAAACCCCAAAGUCAGGAAUAGCCAUCCGAAAGGGUGGGUAAUACUUGAUGGUCUGGUCUUGUCUCUUUUCAUUCAAAAUAAAUUUGAAUGCGAAGAGAUGAGACCAGUAAAGAUUUAUCGCUUUGGGCUUGGCCUGUUUGGUAUCAGCUAGUUGGUAGGGUAAAAGCCUACCAAGGCUAUGACGCCUAGGGGAGCUGAGAGGCUGACCCCCACCGAUGGGACUGAGAUACGGCCCAUACACCUACGGGUGGCUGCAGUCGAGAAUCUUCCGCAAUGGGCGAAAGCCUGACGGAGCGACGCCGCGUGAUCGAUGAAGUCCUUCGGGAUGUAAAGGUCUUUUAUGAGGGAGAAAGUUUAUUGAUAGUACCUCAUGAAUAAGGAGUUGCUAAACUCGUGCCAGCAGCAGCGGUAAUACGAGUGCUCCAAGCGUUAUCCGGAAUCAUUGGGCGUAAAGGGUGUGUAGGCGGUCAUACUAGUCUUUUGUUAAAACCUCCGGCUUAACCGGAGAUCUGCGAAAGAAACGGUAUGACUUGAGAGUACGAGGGGUCUCUGGAACUCAUGGUGUAGCGGUGAAAUGCGUUGAUAUCAUGGGGAACACCAAAAGCGAAGGCAAGAGACUGGCGUAUUUCUGACGCUGAGACACGAAAGCGUGGGUAGCGAAUGGGAUUAGAUACCCCAGUAGUCCACGCCCUAAACGAUGAUCACUAGCUUUUUGGAGUAUCGACCCUCUAAGAGGCGAAGCUAACGCGUUAAGUGAUCCGCCUGGGUAGUACGGCCGCAAGGCUAAAACUCAAAGGAAUAGACGGGGACUUGCACAAGCGGUGGAUCAUGUGGUUUAAUUCGAUGGUAAACGAAAAACCUCACCAGGGUUUGAAACCUAGCUGAAGACAUUUGGAAACAUUUGUCGUCUCACAAGGACAGUUAGGCAGGUGCUGCAUGGCCGUCGUCAGUUCGUGAUUUGAAUUGUUCCCUUAAGUGGGGUAACGAACGCAACCCUCGUUGUCUGUUAUAUAUGUCAGACGAGACUGCCCAGCUUUUUGUUCGCAAAAUUUUUGUGAAUAAAAAGCUGGGAGGAAGGCGAGGAUGACGCCAGGUCAGCAUGGCCCUUUGAUACCCUGGGCCACACACGUGAUACAAUGGUUGCUACAACGGGACGCAAUACCGAAAGGUGGAGCAAAUCCUUUAAAAACAACCCCAGUUCGGAUAGGAGUCUGCAACUCGACUCCUUGAAGUUGGAAUCGCUAGUAAUCACAGGUCAGCAUACUGUGGUGAAUACGUUCUCAAGUCUUGUACUCACCGCCCGUCAACUCAAGGGAAUUGGGAGUACCUGAAAUCUCGCCUCGUGCGGGCCUAAGGUAAACUCAAUGACAGGGAGU